rnacentral:ncRNA from 13 species
CGCGGGGUGGAGCAGCUCGGUAGCUCGCUGGGCUCAUAACUCAGAGGUCGCAGGUUCAAAUCCUGUCCCCGCUA